UCUGCGGACUUUGGCAGUACACACUAAAGUUAGAAUAAUACAGAGAAAAUUAGCAUGCCCCCUCAGCAAAGAUGACACGCAAAUUCACAAAACAUUCCACCUUUUA
rnacentral:snRNA from 1 species